UAACCUGCCAAAGAGAUCGGGAUAACACCUGGAAACAGAUGCUAAUACCGGAUAACAACAGAUGAUGCCUAUCAACUGUUUAAAAGAUGGUUCUGCUAUCACUCUUGGAUGGACCUGCGGUGCAUUAGCUAGUUGGUAGGGUAACGGCCUACCAAGGCGAUGAUGCAUAGCCGAGUUGAGAGACUGAUCGGCAACAUUGGGACUGAGACACGGCCCAAACUCCUACGGGAGGCAGCAGUA
rnacentral:rRNA from 1 species